rnacentral:lncRNA from 1 species
UGAUUUUGGUCAUUAGGACUCAGUCACCUCUUCUUCUUAAAUUUUAGGUGAUUUCGGUCAUUGUGACCACAUCCCUUGUUUCUUAGGUGAUUUCGGUAAUUGUGACCGCGUCUUCUCCUUCCUUGAGUUAUAGGUGAUUUCGGUCAUUGCGACUGUAUUCCGUCUCCUUCCUCAGUUUUAGGUGAUUUCUAUCAUUGAGACCACGUCCCGUCCCCUUUCUUAGUUUUAGGUAAUUUCAGUCAUUGCGACCACAUCUCGGCUUCUUCUCCAGUUUUAGAUGGUUUCGGUCAUUGUGACCAAGUCCUCUUUCCUUCCUCAAUCUUAGGUGAUUUCGGUCAUUGUGACCGCGUCCCUUAUUUCUUAGGUGAUUUCGAUCAUUGCGAUCACGUCUCGUCUUUCCUUCACUUAAAGGUGAUUUUGGUCAUUGCGAUUGUGUCCC